UUGGCACUCUGUUAACUGUAUUACCUGUAUUAAGCCUUUUGAACUUUCCAAAACUCACACAAAAAUGGAGCAAAAAUUGCUCAAAUUUUUACAGAAAUCCAAAACUAGCAAACAAUUGAAAGAGACCCAUCUUCAGAUUAUUGUCAAUGGCCUAAUGAAUAACAACUUUAUAGUGCCAAAGCUCAUAACUUUUUCCUCAAACUUCAUUUCUCUUGAUUAUGGACUAUAUGUCUUUGAAAGCUUACAAAACCCAACUCUUAUUUCCUACAAUACUUUGAUUCAAUGCUUCAUUGGUAAGACAUUGAAAUAUGCAUUAUAUACUUAUAACCAUAUGAGGGUAUCAAAUAUUACACCUAAUAGUUUCACAUUUACUUUUCUCUUGAGGUGUUUUGAGUCUUUUGAUGCUUUACAAGCUGGAGAAGUAGUUCAUAGUCAGAUUGCAAAGUUGGGUUUUGAGUCGAGUGUGUUUGCUAAGAAUACCCUUAUGGAUUUUUAUGCUAAAUGUGGUGGGAAUUUGGGUUCUGCUCGUAAGGUGUUUGAUGAAAUGUAUGAAAGAGAUGUUGUUUCGUGGAAUACGAUGAUCGGUACUUAUAUGAUUCAUGGUAAUCAAGAAUAUGCGCUUUGUUUGUUUGAGGCUAUGCCGGAGAGGAAUCUGAUUUCGUGGAAUUCGGUUAUUGCUGGGCUAUUGAAGGUUGGGAACAUGGAGAUGGCUCGUUCUGUUUUUAAGCGUAUGCCGGAGAAGAAUGAUGUUUCUUGGAAUACGAUGAUAUCUGGAUAUGUGAAGUUGGGUGACGUAGAGACUGCUAGAGCUAUAUUUGAUGAGAUGCCGGAGAAAAGUAUAAUCUCUUGGACUGCAGUGGUAUCAGGAUAUGCCACAAGUGGUGAUGUGCUAUCAGCAAGAAAGAUGUUUGAUCGAAUACCAGAAAAAAAUGUUGUUUCAUGGAAUGCCAUGAUUGCUGGAUAUGUAAAUAACCACAUGUUUGAUGAAGCUCUUUCAGUGUUUCAGCUUAUGUUGAUUGACGGGAACUGCAAACCCAACCAGACUACUUUGAUUAGUGUACUCUCAGCAUGUUCACAUUUGGGGUCUCAUGAGCAUGGAAAAUGGAUUGAUUCUUUUAUAAGAAAGAACAAAUUUGACUUAUCAGUUCCCCUAGGAAAUGCUUUAAUCGACACAUUUGCAAAAUGUGGAGAUAUGGAAAAUGCAAAAGCAGUUUUCCUGAGGAUGGCCCAAAGAUGCAUAAUUACUUGGACUACAAUGAUUUCAGGAUUAGCAGUGAAUGGACAUUGCAAAGACGCCCUAGAACUCUAUGAAAAAAUGUGCUUAGAAGGAGUAGAGCCGGAUGAUGUUGUAUUUAUUGCUGUUCUUUCGGCUUGCACUCAUGGAGGGCUGCUGGAAGAAGGGAAAAGGGUAUUUUACCAUAUGAUGAACAAAUUUGGCAUUAAACCACGGAUUGAGCAUUAUGGAUGCAUGGUUGAUCUUCUUGGCCGAGCUGGAAAGUUUGAAGAAGCACUGAGUUUCAUAAAGAGCAUGCAUUUGGAACCUAACGUGGUCAUUUGGGCCACAUUGCUUUCUGCUUGUAAAACUUAUAGAAACGGGGAGUUGUUAGAAUCCUUAACCAGGAGGAUCCUGGAGCAAGAGCCUAACAACCCAAGUUAUUUAACAUUGAUAAUGAAUCUAAGCUCUUCUGUUGGGCGGUGGCAAGAUACCUUGAACUUCUGUAUAGCUACUAGAGACCAGGGAAUAGUAAAAAUUCCUGGUUGUAGCUCAAUCCAAAUAGGAAAUAAUGUCCAUGAGUUCUUAGCUAAAGAUACAAAGCACCCACAGAGGAAGGAAAUCUAUAGAGUUUUAGGGUGUUUAAAUGGACACUUAAAAUCAUGUGAGGUCGAACGAAUUGUGAUGACCAUGGCUUCUUAGAGAAUCUAUCGAUAGAAAGAUUUUGUAAUGUCCAUUGCUCAAAGGCUACUUUCUUGAAUACGCAUUAUUCUGACAUGGGUGAAAUCUUACAUCACAUGUAACUUGAAGUUGCAUGAUCACAGUGGAUGGACUAUUGAUCUGAAUUAAGUACUGUCGUGAAAUGAAGUAAGAUAAUUCUCAAAGUACGGCUGCAUGGAAAGGAAUCAACUCGGAGAAACUGUGAUGUCCAAGAGUAAAUUAUUGCACUGCAAAUUUUGGGCAAGAUGAGAUGCAUGAAGGUACUAUUUAUCAGGCCAUGGAAGAAUUGCCAAAGUAUGUUCCAGAACAGGCACACCCUAACAUGUUGAGUCUUCUCUAUAUGCUCCACGUCCAUGCUUUAGCCUGUUGAGCUACUCUGAACUUUUGAAAGAUCUGGGUCUGUCAGAAAAAGUAGUCUUCAAGCAGAGGCGGAGUCAGGAUUUUUAUUAAGAGGAGCUCAAAAUCCGAAGAAGUAAACACACGAACUAGUCGAAGGGGUUUUUACAUCUACUAUAUAUACAUAAAAAGUAAUUUAACCAUGUAUAAAUACUAUAAUUUUUCGCCAAAGGGGGCUUGGAUGAACCCCUUACCAUAAGUUGGCUCUGCCCCUGUCUUCUAGUCCUCAAACCCUGAACUGGUCACAGGUGUGGGGGGAUGUCAGCUUAUACUUCAAAGGAGUUUAUAAUGGUCCUAUUUCACUUAUUGCCUUAUUUUGAAUUGGAUGCUCAUAUUCUUUCAUAACGUACUUUAAACCGUACGAAAAAUAAUAUCAAAAAGAGAUUAUAUUGGAGCAUAUAAACAAAUGGUUGAACUUGAAACAAAGGGAUCCUUGCUCAAAUAGCCGGCUGGAUUUGCUCUUUACUUCUCCUAGCCUAUAUGCCUAGAUUAUACUCUGGUAGUCUGGUUAUACAUGACUACACUCAUAGUAUACAAGGAUGAUACAUAUAGUAUACAUCUGCUGGCUAUUCUUAAUUGAAGUGGUUUGGUGGUGGCUAUUUAGGUUAAUUUUUCAAAAAACAUAAAGGGAGUGGUUGGUUGAUCAGAAAGUUGAGACAGAUCAAUAGGAUGGGAGGAUGGUGGGUUGGUCGGGAAGGUGUUGAAGGAUGACAAGAUUUGCACAAAAUCUAGAGUUUAGUUGAUGGAUCGACUGCAAGAUUCUCAUUUUCUUAUUUGUUUUUGCCAAGACAACACAACUACUGUUACUACAUCAAUAGUUUCAUUCUAAGACACCUUUCUCUUACUACUCUUCAUGUUACUUUUCUACAGUACCCAGAGUUACUUGAUCAAUAUACUGAUAUACCGUCAUUUUACUUAAUUCAGAUAAUGUGGACAUGUACUAGAUUCCUUCGAGAAGUUAAGCACAAAGUUGAGCAGUGUUCUGUUUGGAUGUCCACAUUUGGAUUGGUGCUCUGUCAAUAUUCACUUCUUGAUUGUUUGUUUUCCAUAUAGAUAUGCUUUGCUUUUGAAGAAGCUGUCUGUUUUCUCCUGUGAAUCCAAUCCAUUUCCACAUAUAUAGAACUUUUGUGUGCAAAUGUUGUCUCUUUUGCUUGCUGUGCCUCCAGCUUUCUGUUGAAAAUAUAGUGCUGAAAAUGGAAGCUGGUUGGAAGAGAAUCUGAUGCCGACACUAGUAUAUGGAAGUUGAAGUACUUUCACUGGUUCGUAUGCUCUUCACCAAGGAAAUGUUUUUGGUGUAUUACUCUUCAUGGCACCCAUAGUUUGACACUACAUACAGGAUUACAUUCAAAAGGAUUAUUAGCAAGAGAUCAACAGAACAGUUCUCUAACAUACCUUAUGUAAUAACUCUGCUCAAUUGCUUGCUCUCAGUUUGAGGCGGGUAAUCAAAUCUAAAAGCGUUGAGUACAUGCCAUUCUUUUUGUCACUAGCUGUUUUCAUCUGCAGUUUGUCAUGGUUUAUCUUCGCCCUGCUCGGAAAGGACCC